rnacentral:rRNA from 1 species
GACGAACGCUGGCGGCGUGCUUAACACAUGCAAGUCGAACGGAAAGACCCUGCUUUUGUGGGGUGCUCGAGUGGCGAACGGGUGAGUAACACGUGAGUAACCUGACCUUGACUUUGGGAUAACUUCAGGAAACUGGGGCUAAUACCGGAUAGGAGCUCAUGCUGCAUGGUGGGGGUUGGAAAGUUUCGGCGGGUGGGGAUGGACUCGCGGCUUAUCAGCUUGUUGGUGGGGUAGUGGCUUACCAAGGCUUUGACGGGUAGCCGGCCUGAGAGGGUGACCGGCCACAUUGGUACUGAGAUACGGCCCAGACUCCUACGGGAGGCAGCAGUGGGGAAUAUUGCACAAUGGGCGGAAGCCUGAUGCAGCAACGCCGCGUGCGGGAUGACGGCCUUCGGGUUGUAAACCGCUUUCGCCUGUGACGAAGCGUGAGUGACGGUAAUGGGUAAAGAAGCACCGGCUAACUACGUG